rnacentral:rRNA from 1 species
UACGGGGGGGGGCAAGCGUUGUUCGGAAUUACUGGGCGUAAAGGGCGCGUAGGCGGCCUGCUAAGUCGAACGUGAAAUCCCCGGGCUCAACCCGGGAACUGCGUCCGAUACUGGCAGGCUUGAAUUCGGGAGAGGGAUGCGGAAUUCCAGGUGUAGCGGUGAAAUGCGCAGAUAUCAGGAAGAACACCAAUGGCGAAAGCAGCUCUCUGGGACGGUACUGACGCUGAGACGCGAAAGCGUGGGGAGCGAACAGG